CGGCGCCAUUUUCCCCCGGUCGGUUAGUCAGCUAGAGCCAAGCGGCUGUUGAGAGGCCUCAGUUCCUCUCGUCGUGUCUGGUGGUAAGGGAAGGAGGACGGCGCAGUUCCCUUCUCCCCCUGUCCAACCGCCCCCCUGUCUCUGGACAUCAGCCCACUGGGGUUAAUUGGCCACCACCACGCCACGCUGCGCCUUCCUUCCUUGCACACCUCUGCGUCCAGCCCCGUGUGUCUGAGCCUUUGAAUGAGCAAUAUUGCAGCUAGCCCGAUGUCAAAUGUUGCCUCUUCAAGCAGCGGAAGAGGGACAGGGAAAUCAACAAGCUUUACUCCUGAACUACAAAGUAUGAUUUAAACACUUAUCAAGAACAGCUGCUGUAGUGCUAUGGAUCCUAUCCAUGGACUCAUGGUGGUCUGCUGAACAACGUUCUUCAACUUUGACAGGCUGUCUACACAGCUCCUCAAGUUGGACUAUGAGAAUGUGAAUUGCAGAAAGCAUUAGCAUGCUGUGCGGUAACUUCUCUGUGUGCAUGCUAUGGAUGUGAACUAAAAGGUACCUAGUUCGUGUUAACUUAGUCUUGUUUAAAGAGGACUAAUGCAAACUGAUUACUCUUUAGAUUUUGCUGGAGCAUCCACAUUGGGGAAUUAUAGUGCGCUGCAGUUCAAAUCCCGUAGUCCAAACUGUGGGACCAUGUAGCUUAGCCCUCAGAUUACUAUUAUGGGGUCAGUUACGUGGCUGUAAAGUGCUAACUCAGUCCUGGACGGUUUUAUGCAUCUGCAGCAAGGCAGACAAUGGUUGCAGAUAGCCCAAUCAUUAUUAAUUAAUAAAUGCUACAGAUAUCAAUUCCUUUGAAUAUUUAAGUCCACAGUUUGAACAAUAGGCUGGUUGGUAAAUGGGAGUAAGGAGGUGGAAUCGAAGCAGGGAAUCAAUAAAGAAAAAACUUGGAAACUGUUAACAACAAUAGCUCUGAAGCUGAGUGGGAAGAGGCAGAAUCUACAAAGAAAGAGACUGAUUUGGUCCUCAGAAGAGCUGGGAUCCCAGGGCAAAGUUGGGCCUAUCUAAAUCUCGAUGGAAAUUCUAAGCCUAGGUAAGACAAUAAGACAUGUAGACCUUUUGUUAUUUUAACCUUGUAUCUCUGAUUACUAUAUUUCCGUGUAUAAAUAAUAUUUAGUUUUGAAGAAACUGGUCACUGUGUCUGCCUACUGUUCAUAGCUUA